ACAACAACGUAACGUACUGCAACCUAUGUGGGAGCGAGACGGGGACUCACUGUGCUUAUUAAAUAGUCAGUCUUUUUCUCUCUCCUAUACAAAUUGCGGGCGUAUCAUCAUGGCACAAGAAAACCAUAGUUUUGUGACGUAUUAUUAAGCAGAUAUGUUUGUAAUUGAAAUGAAUAAAUGCCCUCUAUAUUUCCAGCAGCAGCCAUUCAACCGAAUCCGUUUGUCUCUUUCCAUUGUGCUCUCUUCUCUCCGCUCUCCUCACCAAUCGCUUUAUUACACGUUUUAUGUUUUAUCAUUUCACACACAACCACUCCAACCAUCCACGAAUAAUCACACGCACACAAACUUUUUGGAUGUGUGCGCGCAAAGCUAACGGGUGGGAGGGAGAGGUUGCGCCAAGAACCGUUACGACAGCGCGUGCUUGUUGUUGGUCUUUUUGCUGUUGCCAAGAGUGAAUGAUAUAUUAUUGUUGUAUGGCAGCAAAUGAAACUGUACAAUGAGCGACAGUGGGCAAGGAGAAGAAGCAUAGAGAGCGCGAUAGAGGGGGAGAUAUGAACUACACAAAAGCGAAACUUACGUAAACACGCAUGUCUACGCAUCGGUGUGUGUGUGUGUGUGUUUGUGUCUGCGAUGGUGUGUUGUUUCUAGUUUUUCGUAAAGGAGAAGUAGAAAAUCAAGUUUCUAUCGAUGGAAUGAUUCAUAUUUCGUAGCAUGAUUCGCUCAGACUAAUAAACAAUCUCCAUUUGUCAUGGGACUUUUGCUGACACUUAUUUUUCCCAUUAAUUAGGCGAUAUGAGUAAGAGAUUUGCAAUUGUUGGUGAUGCAACUUUCGCUGCCGCUGAAAUUAUUUUGCAAAAAAUGUAAUAAAUUGGAUUUUCAAGUGGCCAUUACACGAAUCAUUCGCUUGGAAAAAAUAAAUGUAGAUAUUCGAAAUGGCAUGUUAACAACUCGAUUAGAGAUAUUAUAUUUGCCCAGAAUACACAAUGUUCGAGUUAAUUGCGUUUGGACCUUGGAAAUUCACACAAUUACUAUUACUAUUCGCAAUGUAUAAUUUAUUUUUUGCAUUCGAAACUUUGACUUUGCAGUCCGGAGUCGAGCCACUCUAUCUCUCUCUAACGCCUGCAGCAGCUGACCUUGAGAACGAGACAAAGCAAAGCCGACGAGCAAACAAAGCGUUCAGAAAGAGACAGGCAAACAGACUACCUGUGUAUAUCUACAGUCCGACUACUAUAACUCGAAAUAAUAAUCCUACAUUGUACAACGAUAGUCAAUAGGUACACUAUAGUAACCACUAGUUACUAAUAGCGAACAUUAGAACGAUUCGUUCUAUCCAAUUACAAUUUACAUGAAUAAAAACUUUAUAUCUGUAAUCAUAACUAUACUUAAUAGUUAGCUAAAAUUGCAAACACAAUUAAGGGAAGUUAUGGUUCAAGUUAAGUAAUUGGAAGUUAUGACAGUUGAAUUAAAAACAAACCCCAUCACUCUAAAACGGAAGUGACUCUCAAGCGAUAAAAGCAUUUUAGAAAGUUCUGCUUUCGGGAGUCUUACUGUAGUAUAUGCCCAUACUUGUUACUCAUUAGCAGCGACAUCCACAUCCCCCGAACCGAACCCCUUCCUCCAGCAGCCAUCCGGGUUGAUUCCACAUCAGUUGCUAAGCUGAAAUGACGCCAUCUUGCAUUUGACGAUCUUCCAAGCUAGUUUUACAAUAAACCAAUAGAACUGAACUAGCUAAUGCCCGUCCCACUCCUGAUCUUUGCUCGGUGUGUAAUUAUCAGCCAAUCCAGUCCUUCAGCUGCCCCUUGCAACUUUGCGGUGCGGCUUCCACUCGCUAACUCACAUCUUGGCAUUUAAUAAGAAGUUGGCCUUGAAGGCAGCCAGUUUCAAAUCUCUGAGUUCUGAGUUUCUCAGUUUCGCAGCCGCACUUCGGCUCCAGUGUGUGAUUAAUGGGGGAUUCUUGCGGUUGGAGCAGCCUCUGCCUUUUGCUUUGAAUUAGACUUUGGCUCCAGUGAAGCUUUGGAUGCAGGAAGGGGCUAAGUGAAGUUCCAUAAAGAAGUUUAUGUUUUAAAAACUACCAUAUGGCUGCUUAGUAAUGAAAAUCUAGAAUAAUUAAAUAAAACGUCAUUUUUAUUUUGUA